CCUGCUAUGAGAAACGCGACUGACGACUCCUGUCCCUUCUUUUCCUGUGGAAACAGGUGACUCGUCUUGAGGCCUCUAACACAUCCAUCACCUUAGAACUAUACUCAAGUUCAGCACUCAGGAAACCGGAGAACCCAGAGAAAACCCACGC